rnacentral:rRNA from 1 species
CCCGCUGAACUUAAGCAUAUCACUAAGCGGAGGAAAAGAAAUUAACUAAGAUUGCCUCAGUAACGGCGAGUGAAGCGGCAAAAGCCCAAACUGGAAAUCUUCACCCUUCGGGUGACGAAUUGUAAUCUAGAGGGGGGUAACUUAACUGGUUUUGGCGCAGAAGUGCCUUAGAACGGGCCGCCAGAGAGGGUGACAGCCCCGUAUGUGGUGCCAGAACCAACCUAGUUCCUUUCUAAGAGUCGGGUUGUUUUGAAUUGCAGCCCUAAUCCGGGAGAUAGACUUCUUCUAAGGCUAAAUAUAUAUGGGAAACCGAUAGCGAACAAGUACUGUGAAGGAAAGAUGAAAAGAACUUUGAAAAGAGAGUCAAAAGACUUGAAAUCGUUGAGAAGGAAGCGGUAGAAAUUUAUUCUUCUGCUGUGAAUGAAGGUGUUUGGCUUGCGUAUCAGGGCUUCCCAGUACGUCAAAGGCUGGUGGUUUUGCGUGCGUAACCGAUAGCUGGAUUCUCAGUGGUGAGGCAAAAUGGGGUUUCACUCCUACAAAAGCUUGUUAGAAUUCGGAGGCUUCGGCUUUCAUCCUGGCUUAGCUAGUAGGCGUGGAGCCUGAGGAUGCUUUGUGCGAUUUUGCCAAAAUGGUUUUUACCGACCCGUCUUGAAACACGG